rnacentral:rRNA from 1 species
AUUGAACGCUGGAGGCGUGCUUAACACAUGCAAGUCGUGCGAGAAAGGGACUUCGGUCCUGAGUAGAGCGGCGCACGGGUGAGUAACGCGUGGGUGAUCUCCCUUGGUGAUCGGGAUAACAGCGGGAAACUGCUGCUAAUACCGGAUAAUCUUCAUGUUUGACUUCAUGGGGUAAAGGUGGCCUCUGCUUGCAAGCUACCACAUCAAGAUGAGCCCGCGUCUCAUUAGCUAGUUGGUAGGGUAAUGGCCUACCAAGGCGACGAUGGGUAGCUGGUCUGAGAGGAUGGCCAGCCACACUGGAACUGAAACACGGUCCAGACUCCUACGGGUGGCUG